rnacentral:misc_RNA from 1 species
GAUGAAGAACGCAGUGAAAUGCGAUAAGUAAUGUGAAUUGCAGAAUUCAGUGAAUCAUCGAAUCUUUGAACGCACAUUGCGCCCCCUGGUAUUCCGGGGGGCAUGCCUGUCCGAGCGUCAUUACAACCCUCAAGCUCAGCUUGGUGUUGGGCCCCGCCGCCCCGGCGGGCCCUAAAGUCAGUGGCGGUGCCGUCCGGCUCCGAGCGUAGUAAUUCUUCUCGCUCUGGAGGUCCGGUCGUGUGCUCGCCAGCAACCACCAAUUUUUUUCAGGUUGACCUCGGAUCAGGUAGGGAUACCCGCUGAACUUAAGCAUAUCAAUAAGCGGAGGA